ACCCAAAAGAAAGAGCCCGUGCAAGUGAGACCACACCUCAUGCUUCCCAAUUCCCACUUCCCUAUGCCUGAAGCCGCGUUCAAAGGAUAAGAGGGAAGACACCGAUACAUACAUAUCUUUCAAAACGCCACAACCAGACUUAGCACUGCAAGCCUACAUAAAGAGAAGCUUCAGUAGAGAAAGAAACCUGAAAGUUCCAGUACAAAGGCCCAGGCGCUAAGAACAUCUUAGAUGAAGUUAGAGAUUGAAAACAUUUCAGAACAACACCAGACCUUGGGUUUGUGAUUCCUAUACACUGGGUAAGUCUUCCCUCAAGGCAGCCCUCCUGGGAAACAUGCUCAUAGCCAUGCCUAGAUGUGAAUCUCCUAAGUGAUGCCAAAUUUAAUUAACAAUGAAGAUUAAACCCUACAG